UUUACCGCCUGUAGAUUGAAUACCCCCCAUUCAGCUUCCCCUCUCCCCAUUUCUCUCUCAUAACCCUCCCAAUUAUCCUCUGUUUAUCACACCUCUUACAUAUCAUUUCCAUUCAAACAAAGAUCCAAUCAACAGUCCCCCAUCAACUGGUCACCGACAACUAGGUAGAUAUCCUUUCCGUUCAAACAAAGACCCAAUCAACAUUCUCCCCGUCCAGGCAAAAUAUGUGUUCUUAAAUGGUGUCUGUUUGAAACAAAAUCCAAUUGAUACUUCAUAAGGGGGAUUUGAAGACGAUUUUGGGUUUGUUUUUGAAGCAAUUUAAAGCACAAUCAACUUUCCUCAACCAAUUUGAGUCUUCAUUACAAGGUAAAGUUAUAUUGCAUUCUUUCAAAUUGCAGUCCCUACAAUAAAAAUGAUUUACGUAUUUAAUUACAAGGUGUAAAAUUCCCCAAUUAUCGUCAUUGGAUUUCACUCUCUCGCAGUAACUUUUUGGUCAGUGCUGCAAUUCUAUCAACAAACAAGAUUGUUGGAUGAGCUCAUACUAUAAGAAUUCAAGCUUUUUUUGUUUAAGAUGGUUUAAGUAAUUUAUGUCUAGAUCUUUGAACCCUUUGUUUAGGAUUCUAUAGCUUAUUUUUGUUUAAGAUCCUGGAACAUUCUAUUUAGAUUACUAGCUUGUUUUUGUCAAGAUACUAAGAUUCUUUUUUUUUUUUUUU